GAAAGAUGAUCAGGUUGAUAGGUCUGAGGUGGAAGUGUGGCGACACAUGGAGCUGACAGAUACUAAUCGAUCGAGGACUUAACCUAAUUU
rnacentral:rRNA from 1 species